rnacentral:rRNA from 1 species
UACGGUAGGUGGCGAGCGUUGUCCGGAUUUACUGGGCGUAAAGGGAGCGUAGGCGGACUUUUAAGUGAGAUGUGAAAUACCCGGGCUCAACUUGGGUGCUGCAUUUCAAACUGGAAGUCUAGAGUGCAGGAGAGGAGAAUGGAAUUCCUAGUGUAGCGGUGAAAUGCGUAGAGAUUAGGAAGAACACCAGUGGCGAAGGCGAUUCUCUGGACUGUAACUGACGCUGAGGCUCGAAAGCGUGGGGGGCAAACAGGAUUAGAUACCCCCGUAGU